GCAUUACGUGAAUACGAGGUAAUCUCCAGAAACUACAUUUCAACAUUGAAAAGGUAAAAAUUGCACAGGGCGUCUUAUUUGAUCGCCCUCAUUUAACAUAUACCUACUUUUUAAAAAAGUUUUAAUUUGUACCUACUUUUAAACAACUCUAGGCCUCUUUCUCCUCCUUCGUUUUCUUCUGCUCCUUCUUUUUCUUCUUCGGGUUAAUUGGUUAAUUGGAUGUGGUACUACUGCCACAAGAAGUGAGUUCAUAUUUCUGUAUUUAGUCCAAUGGCACAAAAUAAAGUAAGGAAGGCUCUAACUUUAGAAAUUAUAUCAAGGUAAAAGCUCCAAAACGGAAACGAGAGUGCAAAGUCAGAUGGAACAUAAAUCACGAAAUGACAUUUACUAUAUUUUAAAUAUCCACAGUUGAAUAUUGACAUGGAUUUAGCCUAAAUAAAUUACCGGAAGAUGAGAAAGUUAUUCCUCUUCUUAAAGCCAUCUAACUUCAAAGAAAGACAUAACAUAACUUCAGCUCUAAGAAUGCUGAAGUUCAACAAAUAUAAAUAAAAAAUUCAGCUCCUAGAAUGCUGAAGUUCAGCAAAUAUAAACAAAAACUUCAGCUCCUAGAGUGCUGAAGUUCAGCAAAUACAAAAUAAACUUCAGCCUAGAAUGCUGAAUUUCAGCAAUUACAAAACAAACUUCAGCUCCUAGAAUGCUGAAGUUCAGCAAUUAUAAAACAAACUUCAGCUCCUAGAAUGCUGAAGUUCAGUAAUUACAAAACAAAAACUUCAGCCAAAACAUGUUGUGGUUUUAUUGAACUGAAGUUUGUCAUUGCACUAUGAACUGAAGUUUGCAUAAUUGUCUUUGUAAGUCAGGCCAAACUUUAGGCAAAAAUAUCUCAAGUUUUGCUAUACUUCAGAAAAAACACUCUGAAGUUCAAACUUCAGACAUAAAAUUCUUGCUACUUCAGGCAUGUAUGUCUGAAGUUAUCCGAAAUUAAAAAUGAGUACGCUUGCAUUUUUUUGUAAAGCAAGUAUAAGUUAAAAGUUGACCCAAAAUCUGGGUAUAGAUGCAAAUGCCCCUUAGAAAAGCCUAUAUAAAAUUCCAGAAAUAUUUUUAUCAUUUGGUAUAAAACAUUUUGAGGGCUUAAUUGUUGUAGGAUUGGUGAUGUUAUAAAAUAAUGACUGAUGAGCAUCCGAAAAUAUGCUUCCUAGAAUUGUGGGAUUUGCCAACUCUUUUAGAAGAAAAUAUAUGAAAAUAUUCAUUAUCCUAACAAUGGUUAAGACCUAUUUUUAUUUAAUUAAUCUAAAACAUUGACGUCAAUAUAGGACACAUGUCAUCUAUCCAAAUAAGAACUUGGGGAAAUGGAGACAAAGAAAAUGGAGAGGAUUUCAAUCUUGAACGCUCUUCCCUCUUCUUCAAUUAACUUUGUUAAUGCUCGUGGAGAUAGCACAACAUUUACGAAUUCGGCCGAACCCAAUAACUUUGAUUUAAAUUAUAUAUUUAUCUAAUAAAUUCUAUUGAAUAUAUACAAACUAUUAAUUUGAAACUCAGUAACUCUAAUGAACUAAAAUUAUCAAUCCAUAAACUUCAAAAAGUAGCACCUCCUCAGUGCCUCCAAAAAAAUCAAACAUGUCAGCUGUUUGUGAAUGUGAACUGAAAUGAGAAUGUUGUCUUCAAUUGUCCUGCCUAGGGGUAUACAAGCAAAACCGUUAAGCCAAACUGAACCGACAAACCAAGUCGUCAAACCUAAGAAAAAAAUCGACUUGUAGUUUGGUUUGGUGUUGGAAAAUAAAAAAUCGAUCACUCUUGGUUUGGUUUAGUAUUAAUAAAAACGUCAAACCGAAUCAAAACCAAACCGACAUUAUAUAUAUAAAUUUAAAAAAAGUUAUACAUAAGAAAUAAUCAUUAAAAUCUAAUUUGUAAGUAUUUUCUAAACUUUUUUUAUAGUUUUCAAUAUCGUAAGAUAUUAUUUAUGUGUGGACUUGUAAAUUUACUAUCCACUAAAUAGAUUCUAUCUACAUAACCUAAAUCUGAAGCCCAAACUAAAACCCAACAAGACAAAAGACAAUAAAAUAGGUUAUUCCAUAUAUGUUCCCUAUGUUCCAAUUCCAAACUCAAAGAACCCCAAAUAUUGGAAACCCUUCCCUCCACUUCACACGAGCUUCCCACUCUGCAAUUUUUGUUGAGAAUUAGCCAUUGUUCAAGUUGUAAUUGCAUACUAGUCUUACUGCUCCGGUACAAUUUGGUAAGCUAAAGUGUUUGACUAAAUUAAUUAUGCUAUUUUUUCCCUUUAGAUUUGGGUAGUACUGUUAUCUUAGAUUAUUUUAAUGAAUAGUAAUCAUGCAGAUAACUGAUGAUUAUUUGAUCUUUUUUUCAAGCACAAUAUAACUAAAAAGAAAAUAGAAAAACCGAAGAAACCGAGAAAACCGACUAAAACCGAAACCGAAAACGAAACCGAAAAACCGAGUUUAUAUUGGUUGAUUUGAUUAUAAAUUUAGUAAACCAACAUAGUUGGUUUAAUUUUGGUUUAAUAAAAAAUCGAACCAAACAGCCUAUGUACACCCCUAGUCAUGUCCAUCUUCCUUUUCAUGGAAAGAAAAGGAAAAAAUAAUAAUGGCGUCCGUUGUAUUAGAGCCUGACUUGUUAGAAUUUUGUCCUAAUUUUCUUUUCAUAUUUGAAUUUUACCUUUUCUUGAAUGAAGAAAUAAUAUUACCAUAUUGUAUUUUCCUUUGGGGUUGUGCAUGGAUCGGAUCGGAUCGAAUUUAGCACAUUUCAAAUUCGGACUUCGAUUUUCGGAUUCUUCAAAAUACACAAUAUUAUUUCGAUCCCAACAAGACUUGCAAUUAUUUUUUAUGCAUAUCCAUUCUCCACCAACGGCAAAUGAGCAAGGCAAAGGAUGUGGAAAACCUUUAAUUUCUUUCAGUAUCCCGUGAAAAUUAGGGUUGAUAUUGCUGUUUUUAAGUUUAUUCAGCUGCAAGAUCAUGAGAAAAGUGAGGAUACUUGCAAACUUUUACUCCUUACGGAUAGAAAAUUAGUUAACUUUUAAGCCACAAAUCGUUAGAAAUAAGAUGAUUGCGGGAAAAAGACUAGACCACUACAAAUUUUCUUCCGCUUGAGGAACUAUUGCGCCAUUAACUAUUUUCAUAUGAUAAACAGGAUGUUUCCAAUGAUCAUAUACAUCCACAAGAAAAACACAGUACUAGUAAUUGGGCUUGUGGCUUGAUUGAACCAUAUAUACAAUUUAUCAUCGAUAAGAGGGGUGCAAGCACAUACCAUUAAUUUCUAUUCAAGUAAAAAAAAAUGCGGUCCAGUGCACGAAGCAUACCGUAUUCAUGUAUGGUUGGGGAAGGGCAGCACCUCGAAGGGUGUGAUGUAGGCAGUCUAUCCUGAUACAAGUAUCAGUGGCUGAUUCCACGGCUCAAUACCAUGAAUUUCUCUUCUCUGAUAUUUAAUUAGUAAGUGAAGCCUCAACAACUGCAUCUAUAGGGAAAAAGAAAACAACCAAGAAGAAGAAUUCAUGCAAACCCUACCAUUUGAACAAGCAUAACCACAAUACAAGAUUAGUCUUGCUCUUUUUCCUGCUUGAGAUACAAGGUCGCCAGUUAGUUAAUCACCCCAAAUAUAACACACCGGGAGUAAGAUAUGGCUUUGAAGUAGGAAUUAAUGUCAAGUAAUUAACAUUUGAUUAGCUACAUGGUCAUGACCAACAAAUCAAGUGAGAAUUAAUCAUUAGAACAUAGUAUAAUUCCUGGAAAAUUAGGGUUGGAAAUACUGAUAAUAAUAAUAAUACUUAGCCAAUACACGAGGGGCAACAAUAUAGAAUAGUAGAAGAUUAGAAUUUGGGUAAGAAACACCAAUUACAUGAUCGUUGCCUUUAGAGUGAAAUUCCACUGCUAAUUUACUGCAACUUUUAAUAUGACGUCCUACUGCAAUGAUAGAAUCAAAUAGAAAUUCGGAAACUCUUUAAUCUCUAAGCUACUUUUAAAGAAACUUAGAAUAAAGAUAAAUGAUAUUUGGAAAGAGAGUUAAAGAUCAAUCAAAGGAUAAAACUAAGCUUCUUGUAAGCAAAAAUAGGCAUAUAUAGGUAUUGAACAAUCACCAACAUGCCUUUCAUGAAUGGACAUAUUUUUGCAUAUGAUUAGAUGCAUGUGUCAUUAUAUUUAAUCAAGAAACAUGUCUCCCUAAUUAAGGAUGUCGAUCUCUACUAGCUAAAAAUACCUUAUCAAAUAUAUGUGACUUAAUUUGGACAAUCAUUUGAUAUACUUUUCACAAAAUCUCAUGUCUUUCAACCAACAGGCAAGUUAAACAUUGACUCACUCAAAACAAAAACCAAAAGCGUUUAGGUGAGCAGUAUUCUAUGAUUGGAAUUUGAUAUCCCAAUUAAGUAACAAGUCCAUUCAAAAACCUUUUAAUUAGUAGGUUGAAUUUCAUGGUCAAUUAAAUUACACUUAACAACAAUUAAUAUAACUCCCAUUAUUUUGAACAAAAAGGAGGAAAUCUGCAAACAAUAUAAAUACAUUUAAAACAACAAAUUAAAGCUAGGGAGGGGCUGAGGAUGAUGACAGAAGACUAGAGAGCACAAAUGAUUAAGAUGCAGAAAGCUUCCAGUUAGCAUCUUAUCAUCAUCUGUGCUCUCUAUCUUCUGUCAACAUCUCCCACUUGCCUCCUUUCUUUUUACACUUACAAUCAUACGCCAGUGGCAGAUCUAACAAUGAGUUCGCGAGUUUGGAAAAAUCUAGUGCUUCGAUGUUGAACCUGUAUAUAUGGAAGAAAAUAAAAACAAGUAUAAAUAGAGUUAGAUAUAUAUGUAUUUCAGAAUCGACCACUGUCAAUGUAUAACCCAUAAUGUCUAAAUUCUCGAUUCACUACCGAACAAACAUAGUAAUAGUGAAUAUAGUUGAAGGAGAUAAAUGAAGAUUAUAGAGCACACAGAGGAUAAAUCAAGGACCUUUAAUGUGCACUCAACAUUCAGUUCACUGCAUCUAGCUCCUUGUCUUUAAUUUCUUCCUCUCCCUAUGCUACGGACUAGGAUGUAGAAAGACAGGGUUUUUUCCCUUUCUUUUUAUAGGGAAUUUGUUUCGAGGUUUUCACAUAGGGAGGGGAAGUUAGCUAUCUAGGAAUUGUAGCUAGCUUAGGAU
rnacentral:lncRNA from 1 species